GACGAACGCUGGCGGCGUGCUUAACACAUGCAAGUCGAGCGGAAAGGCCUGCUUUCCCUUGUGGAUUGCGGGUACUCGAGUGGCGAACGGGUGAGUAACACGUGAGUGAUCUGCCCCCAACUUGGGUAUAAGCCUGGGAAACUGGGUCUAAUUUCCGAUAGGACUGCAGGGUGGUGCCUGUGGUGGAAAACGAUUUUCUAGUGGUUGGGGAUGAGCUCGCUGCCUAUCAGCUUGUUGGUGGGGUAAUGGCCUACCAAGGCGGCGACGGGUAGCCGGCCUGAGAGGGUGUACGGCGACAGUGAGACUGAGAUGCGGCCCAGACUCUGACGGAAGGCAGCAGUGGGGAAGGGUGGACAAUGGGCGGAAGCCUGAUGCAGCGACGCCGCGUGGGUGAUGACGGCCUGCGGGUUUUAAGCUCCUUUCGGCCUCGAGAAAGCCACCUGGUUGGAAGGGUGGUGACGGUAGUGGUAGAAGAAGCACCGGCUAACUACGUG
rnacentral:rRNA from 1 species